rnacentral:piRNA from 1 species
UAUGUACAUAGAUACAACAUGGCCA